UACGUAGGGCGCAAGCGUUGUCCGGAAUUAUUGGGCGUAAAGAGCUCGUAGGCGGUUUGUCGCGUCUGCUGUGAAAACCUAAGGCUCAACCUUGGGCUUGCAGUGGGCACGGGCAGACUAGAGUGCGGUAGGGGUGACUGGAAUUCCUGGUGUAGCGGUGGAAUGCGCAGAUAUCAGGAGGAACACCGAUGGCGAAGGCAGGUCACUGGGCCGCAACUGACGCUGAGGAGCGAAAGCAUGGGGAGCGAACAGG
rnacentral:rRNA from 1 species